rnacentral:rRNA from 1 species
CCGCUGGCGACCGGCGCACGGGUGAGUAACACGUAUCCAACCUACCCUUCACUCGGGGAUAGCCUUUCGAAAGAAAGAUUAAUACCCGAUAGUCUAGGAAUAAAGCAUUUUAUUUUUAGUAAAGAAUUUCGGUGUUUGAUGGGGAUGCGUUCCAUUAGAUUGUUGGUGAGGUAACGGCUCACCAAGUCUUCGAUGGAUAGGGGUUCUGAGAGGAAGGUCCCCCACAUUGGAACUGAGACACGGUCCAAACUCCUACGGGAGGCAGCAGUGAGGAAUAUUGGUCAAUGGACGAGAGUCUGAACCAGCCAAGUAGCGUGAAGGACGAAGGCCCUACGGGUCGUAAACUUCUUUUAUAGGGGAAUAAAGUGGAGAACGUGUUCUCCUUUGUAUGUACCCUACGAAUAAGGAUCGGCUAACUCCGUGCCAGCAGCCGCGGUAAUACGGAGGAUCCAAGCGUUAUCCGGAUUUAUUGGGUUUAAAGGGAGCGUAGGUGGACGUAUAAGUCAGUUGUGAAAGUUUGCGGCUCAACCGUAAAAUUGCAGUUGAUACUGUAUGUCUUGAGUGUACAAGAGGUGGGCGGAAUUCGUGGUGUAGCGGUGAAAUGCUUAGAUAUCACGAAGAACUCCGAUUG